rnacentral:misc_RNA from 1 species
GAUGAAGAACGUAGUGAAAUGCGAUAAGUAGUGUGAAUUGCAGAAUUCAGUGAAUCAUCGAAUCUUUGAACGCACAUUGCGCCCCUUGGUAUCCCGAGGGACAUGCCUGUUCGAGCGUCAUUUCACCACUCAAGCCUGGCUUGGUGUUGGGCGACGUCCUCUUUGGGGACGCGCCUCGAAACGCUCGGCGGCGUGGCACCGGCUUUAAGCGUAGCAGAAUCUUUCGCUUUGGAAGUCGGGGCCCCGUCUGCCGGAAGACCUGCUCGCAAGGUUGACCUCGGAUCAGGCAGGGAUACCCGCUGAACUUAAGCAUAUCAAUAAGCGGAGGA